rnacentral:rRNA from 1 species
AGUGAACGCUGGCGGCAGGCCUAACACAUGCAAGUCGAACGGCAGCACAAGAGAGCUUGCUCUCUGGGUGGCGAGUGGCGGACGGGUGAGGAAUGCAUCGGAAUCUGCCCAUUUGUGGGGGAUAACCUCGGGAAACCGGGACUAAUACCGCAUACGACCUACGGGUGAAAGCAGGGGAUCUUCGGACCUUGCGCAGAUGGAUGAGCCGAUGCCGGAUUAGCUAGUUGGAGGGGUAAAGGCCCACCAAGGCGACGAUCCGUAGCUGGUCUGAGAGGAUGAUCAGCCACACUGGGAAUGAGAAACGGCCCAGACUCCUACGGGAGGCAGCAGUGGGGAAUAUUGGACAAUGGGCGCAAGCCUGAUCCAGCCAUGCCGCGUGUGUGAAGAAGGCCUUCGGGUUGUAAAGCACUUUUGUUGGGAAAGAAAAGCAGCCGGUUAAUACCCGGUUGUCAUGACGGUACCCAAAGAAUAAGCACCGGCUAACUUCGUG